UACGGAGGGGGCGAGCGUUGUCCGGAAUCACUGGGCGUAAAGGGCGCGUAGGCGGCGCGGAUAGUCGGCGGUGAAAGCCCGGAGCUCAACUCCGGGUCGGCCGUCGAUACUUCCGGGCUUGAGCACUGUAGAGGCAGAUGGAAUUCCGGGUGUAGCGGUGGAAUGCGUAGAGAUCCGGAAGAACACCGGUGGCGAAGGCGGUCUGCUGGGCAGUUGCUGACGCUGAUGCGCGACAGCGUGGGGAGCAAACAGG
rnacentral:rRNA from 1 species